GACGAACGCUGGCGGCGUGCUUAACACAUGCAAGUCGAACGGAAAGGCCCUGCUUUUGUGGGGUGCUCGAGUGGCGAACGGGUGAGUAACACGUGAGUAACCUGCCCUUUACUUUGGGAUAACUUCAGGAAACUGGGGCUAAUACCGGAUAGGAGCUCCUGCUGCAUGGUGGGGGUUGGAAAGUUUCGGCGGUUGGGGAUGGACUCGCGGCUUAUCAGCUUGUUGGUGGGGUAGUGGCUUACCAAGGCUUUGACGGGUAGCCGGCCUGAGAGGGUGACCGGCCACAUUGGGACUGAGAUACGGCCCAGACUCCUACGGGAGGCAGCAGUGGGGAAUAUUGCGCAAUGGGCGGAAGCCUGAUGCAGCAACGCCGCGUGCGGGAUGACGGCCUUCGGGUUGUAAACCGCUUUCGCCUGUGACGAAGCGUGAGUGACGGUAAUGGGUAAAGAAGCACCGGCUAACUACGUG
rnacentral:rRNA from 1 species